UUUUUGGUGCACCUUAAAAAGUGCUUAAAAGGGAAUCAGGUGUAAAUCCUGAACAGACCCGCUGCUGUAAACUUCAUAAAAAACCUUAGCAAUAAGUCACUGUUACUAUCGGUAAUGGGAAGGCGCGAAAGAGAAGUAAGUCAGAAGACCUGCCAGAAGUAUAU
rnacentral:ncRNA from 1 species